AGAAACUUAGGAUAAUCAAACCAAGGACCUUCAAAGCCCUAAACAGGAGAAAACACUCCUAGUUUCUG
rnacentral:tRNA from 1 species